CCUUGGAGCUAGCAAUGGAAGCACUCAAAGAGAUCCAAUUAUGGUUCUAUAAAGAUUUCCCUCCUCAUCCUAAGGAACAAGUUUAUGGAUUUGCAACACCAUCAACAAUGAAACCAACUCAAUGGUCUUAUCCAGGUGGUGGAAUUAACCAAAUCCAGCUGAAUGUACAGUUUCAGGGGAUGUUAGGUUGACUCCAUUUUACAGUGUAUCAGAUGUGCUGAAGAAGUUACAGGAGUAUGUAGAAGACAUAAAUGAAAACAUUGAGAAGCUUGAUACUAGGGACCCUAUUUCAAA